AGCGAACGCUGGCGGCAGGCCUAACACAUGCAAGUCGAACGAACCCUUCGGGGUUAGUGGCGGACGGGUGGGUAACACGUGGGAACGUGCCUUUAGGUUCGGAAUAACUCAGGGAAACUUGUGCUAAUACCGAAUGUGCCCUUCGGGGGAAAGAUUUAUCGCCUUUAGAGCGGCCCGCGUCUGAUUAGCUAGUUGGUGAGGUAAUGGCUCACCAAGGCUACGAUCAGUAGCUGGUCUGAGAGGAUGACCAGCCACAUUGGGACUGAGACACGGCCCAAACUCCUACGGGAGGCAGCAGUGGGGAAUCUUGCGCAAUGGGCGAAAGCCUGACGCAGCCAUGCCGCGUGGAUGAUGAAGGUCUUAGGAUUGUAAAAUCCUUUCACCGGUGAAGGUAAUGACUGUAGCCGGAGAAGAAGCCCCGGCUAACUUCGUGCCAGCCGCCGCCGUAAAAC
rnacentral:rRNA from 1 species